UGAGCUGUGAUGGGGAGAAGACAUUGUGUCUUCGAGUCGUUGAUUUCACACUGCCGAGAAAAGCCUCUAGAUAGAAAAUAGGUGCCCGUACCGCAAACCGACACAGGUAGUCAAGAUGAGAAUUCUAAGGUGAGCGAGCGAACUCUCGUUAAGGAACUCGGCAAAAUGACCCCGUAACUUCGGGAGAAGGGGUGCUCUUUAGGGUUAACGCCCAGAAGAGCCGCAGUGAAUAGGCCCAAGCGACUGUUUAUCAAAAACACAGGUCUCUGCUAAACCGUAAGGUGAUGUAUAGGGGCUGACGCCUGCCCGGUGCUGGAAGGUUAAGAGGAGUGGUUAGCUUCUGCGAAGCUACGAAUCGAAGCCCCAGUAAACGGCGGCCGUAACUAUAACGGUCCUAAGGUAGCGAAAUUCCUUGUCGGGUAAGUUCCGACCCGCACGAAAGGCGUAACGAUUUGGGCACUGUCUCAACGAGAGACUCGGUGAAAUCAUAGUACCUGUGAAGAUGCAGGUUACCCGCGACAGGACGGAAAGACCCCGUGGAGCUU
rnacentral:rRNA from 1 species